UCGGCGGCUAGGGUCAUUCCCGAAAAGCUGGUUUCCGCCUAGCCUGCCGCCGAUUCUUCCCCUGCGG
rnacentral:sRNA from 1 species